GAUGAACGCUGGCGGCGUGCCUAAUACAUGCAAGUCGAGCGAACGGACGAGAAGCUUGCUUCUCUGAUGUUAGCGGCGGACGGGUGAGUAACACGUGGAUAACCUACCUAUAAGACUGGGAUAACUUCGGGAAACCGGAGCUAAUACCGGAUAAUAUUUUGAACCGCAUGGUUCAAAAGUGAAAGACGGUCUUGCUGUCACUUCUAGAUGUAUCCGCGCUGCAUUAGCUAGUUGGUAAGGUAACGGCUUACCAAGGCAACGAUGCAUAGCCGACCUGAGAGUGUGCUCGGCCACACUGGAACUGAGACACGGUCCAGUCUCCUACGGGAGGCAGCAGUAGGGAAUCUUACGCAAUGGGCGAAAGCCUGACGGAGCAACGCCGCGUGAGUGAUGAAGGUCUUCGGAUCGUAAAACUCUGUUAUUAGGGAAGAACAUAUGUGUAAGUAACUGUGCACAUCUUGACGGUACCUAAUCAGAAAGCCACGGCUAACUACGUG
rnacentral:rRNA from 1 species